rnacentral:tRNA from 1 species
GAUUUAGUAGCUUAAAUAAGAGCGGGGGUCUUGUACACCCCAGGUAAAAAAAAAAUUUUUUCUAAAUCU